rnacentral:rRNA from 1 species
GGCUACAUUACCAUGCAGUCGAACGGCAGCGGGAGAAAGCUUGCUUUUCCUGCCGGCGAGUGGCGAACGGGUGAGUAAUACAUCGAAACGUGCCCUGUAGUGGGGGAUAACUAGUCAAAAGAUUAUCUAAUACCGCAUACCACCUGAGGGUGAGAGUGGGGGACCGCAGGGCCUCAUGCUGUAAGAGCGGCCGAUGUCUGAUUAUCUAUUUGGUGGGGUAAAGGCCUACCAAGGCCACUAUCACUAUCUGGUCUGAAAGGACGAUCAGCCACACUGGGACUGAGACACGGCCCAGACUCCUACGGGAGGCAGCAGUGGGGAAUUUUGGACUAUGGGCGAAAGCCUGAUCCAGCAAUGCCGCGUGUGUGAAGAAGGCCUUCGGGUUGUAAAGCACUUUUGUCCGGAAAGAAAUGGCUCUGGUUAAUACCUGGGGUCCAUGACCGUACCGGAAGAAUAAUGACCGGCUAACUACGUGCCACCAGCCGCCGGAAUACGUAGGGUCCAAGCGUUAAUCGUAAUUACUGGGCGUAAAGCGUGCGCAGGCGGUUGUGCGAUACCGAUGUGAAAUCCCCAAGCUUAACUUGCGAAUUGCAUUGGUGACUGCACGGCUAGAGUGUGUCAGAGGGGGGUAGAAUUCCCCGUGUCACGGUGACAUGCGUAGAGAUGUGAAGGAAUACAGAUGGCGAAGGGGCCCCGCUGCGAUAACACUGACACUCAUGCGCGAGAGCCUGGGGGAGGGACA